rnacentral:rRNA from 1 species
UACGGAGGGUGCAAGCGUUGUUCGGAAUCACUGGGCGUAAAGCGCGUGUAGGCGGUCUGCUAAGUCUGAUGUGAAAGCCCGGGGCUCACCCCCGGAAGUGCAUUGGAAACUGGCAGACUGGAGUCCCGGAGAGGAGGGUGGAAUUCCUGGUGUAGCGGUGAAAUGCGUAGAUAUCAGGAGGAACACCGGUGGCGAAGGCGGCCCUCUGGACGGUGACUGACGCUGAGACGCGAAAGCGUGGGGAGCAAACAGG